GUGGGGAAUCUUCCGCAAUGGACGAAAGUCUGACGGAGCAACGCCGCGUGAGUGAAGAAGGUUUUCGGAUCGUAAAUUUCUAUCCUUGGUGAAGAUAAUGACGGUAGCCAAGAAGGAAGCCCCGGCUAACUACGUGCCAGCAGCCGCGGUAAUACGUAGGGGGCAAGCGUUGUCCGGAAUGAUUGGGCGUAAAGGGCGCGUAGGCGGCCCGGUAAGUCUGAAGUGAAAGUCCUGCUUUUAAGGUGGGAAUUGCUUUGGAUACUGUCGGGCUUGAGUGCAGGAGAGGUAAGCGGAAUUCCCGGUGUAGCGGUGAAAUGCGUAGAGAUCGGGAGGAACACCAGUGGCGAAGGCGGCUUACUGGACUGUAACUGACGCUGAGGCGCGAAAGUGUGGGGAGCAAACAGGAUUAGAAACCCGAGUAGUCC
rnacentral:rRNA from 1 species